UAAUAAUUAUUCACUUUUAGCCAACAGAUAAUCCACCAGUGCCAGUGCUAUCUAAUGAUAUGGAACUAUCAGGUACUGUUGAAAUGUCGCAACUCCCUGGUGUCCGUUUAUGUUGUCCCUGCAACAAGUAUGGGCCAUGUGACAACUUGACCCAAUCUGAAUUGCUAACUUGUCACUACUGCAAGCUCCAGCAGCACGCAGCGUGUUUCUGCGUAGUUCGUCACUUCCCAUGAUGUUGAUCCCACCAACAAAUCAUUAUUAUCCAAUCCAAAUUAUCCAAUCAACAAAUAUUAUCAAAUGAUUACUGUAUUAAAGCUGUAUAUGGGGCAUUUCACGCGAAGCGGACACAGAUUUCAGGGUCAGGUUUCAGAUUUCGGUUAUA